rnacentral:rRNA from 1 species
CGUGAUUCAGCACUAGCGAGGGAGUGAAGAGGACGUUGGGGUUGUAAAGCUUAUAUGUCUUUGAUGUAGCAAGAAAUGUACCACAGGUGGGAAAUGACGGUUCCCAGAGAAUUAGCCCCGGCCAAAUUCGUGCCCGCAACCGCGGUUAAAAGUAGGGGGCCAGCGUUAAUCGGAAUUACUGGGCGUAAAGGGGGCGCUGGCGGUUAUUCUAGACCGGCGGGAAAUCCCCGGGCUUCACCUGGGAAAGGCGUGUGGAUCUGGAAAGCUAGAAUUGUUCAAGGGGGGGAGGAAUUCCAUGUGUAGCAGUGAAAUUGGUAGGUAUGCAGCAGAAACCCCAUGGCGGAGGCCGCCCCUUUGGCCAACAAUGACCCUCGUGCCCGAAAGCGAGGGGGGCAAACCAGGUUAAAUACCCUGGUAGUUCCCGCCCUAAACGAUGGAUUAUAGUUGGUUGGAACUUGCAGGCUCAGUAACGUAGCUAACG